GGGUAGUUUAUUCAUAAAACUUUAGUUUUGGGGACUAAAAAACCACAAGGUUCUCUGA
rnacentral:tRNA from 1 species